rnacentral:miRNA from 14 species
CUUGAGGAGAUGCCUCCAUGAGAUGCAGCUGUAAGGCAUUUCCUCAACUAGUGAU